CAGUAGACACCAUCAUAUGGUGCUGCAAACUUUGUGGCGUCUACAGUGGCAUACUUUAUCCAAGCAGGGAUACGAUCUACCCACGCUCCCUCGCCAUGCUUGAAACGGAACUUAACUCUGGAGUUGUGUGGAAUGGCUGGCUUACUGUCAACAUCAGGAAUUCUAAUACUCCAAACACCAAACUGGUCCUUCUCCAUCAUGUGGUUGGAACCGUUCCAUCCGUUGAAAUCACCAAUAACUUCUGCUUCCUGAGCAGCAGGAGCCCAUUCACGAUAGACUAUGCAACCAUCUUCCCUGUUGAAUCCAAAUUUUAAAUAACCUUGAGCAAAUUCCUCAAG
rnacentral:misc_RNA from 1 species